GGAGAGAUGGCAGAGUGGUCGAUUGCGGCAGUCUUGAAAACUGUUGAACUGCAAGGUUCCGGGGGUUCGAAUCCCUCUCUCUCCG
rnacentral:tRNA from 1 species